UCGCAACGGUCCUGCUGAAAAAGGAGCGGGCGUUAAUGUGUAAUUCCCCAUCACGUUUUGUAGAAAACACAAGAUAACUCCUCCGUAUGGCGGAUCAUAACCGGUAUACAGUUGCCAAUAUCCCCACCUGCUGUACUGGAGUGUGAAGUCUCAAUCUGGUAUCAUUAUCUCUAAUAAAACCUGUCCUUCAAGAGAAGUAAGUAUACCAAGGAUAUACCCCC